rnacentral:rRNA from 1 species
GAACGCGCUUCGUAAGAGGUGAGUGGCGGACGGGUGAGUAACACGUAGGUGACCUACCUUGAGGUGGGGAAUACCAACGAGAAAUCGUUGACAAUUCCGCAUGGGUUCUCUUCGGAGAGCAAAGCUUCGGUUCAUCCGAGGCGCCACAAGAUGGGCCUGCGUCUGAUUAGCUAGUUGGUAGGGUAAUGGCCUACCAAGGCUACGAUCAGUAGCUGAUCUGAGAGGAUGAUCAGCCACACUGGGAUUGAGAACGGCCCAGACUCCUACGGGAGGCAGCAGUGAGGAAUUUUCCGCAAUGGGGGAAACCCUGACGGAGCAACGCCGCGUGCAGGAGGAAGGUCUACGGAUCGUAAACUGCUUUUACCGGGGAAGAGAACGGACGGUACCCGGUGAAUAAGCCCCGGCUAACUACGUG